UACGGAGGGUGCAAGCGUUGUCCGGAUUUAUUGGGUUUAGAGGGUGCGUAGGCGGCCUUGUAAGUCAGUGGUGAAAGCCUCCAGCUCAACUGGAGAACUGCCAUUGAUACUGCAAGGCUUGAGUACAGACGAGGUUGGCGGAAUUGAUUGUGUAGCGGUGAAAUGCAUAGAUACAAUCAAGAACUCCGAUUGCGUAGGCAGCUAACUAGGCUGUAACUGACGCUGAGGCACGAAAGCGUGGGGAGCGAACAGG
rnacentral:rRNA from 1 species